ensembl:lncRNA
AAAAAGAAAAAGUGCUGCAAGAUAAAAGGAGGAUGCAGGCGAAGAACAACAACAGUCCUCUGCUCACAAAGUUUCUCCAGCAAAGAGAGAUCUGCCCAUUGCUUCUUUUCCUCCAGUCCAUGGGAGGGAUCUCUUCAACACACAGCUACUCUGCAGGGGGAAGAGGGAGAGUAUUUCUCAGAGAUUUUUGGAAUGUGAGGAUGCCAGCCAAGACUCGGAGAACUUGCUGGGGGUCAGUGACAGCCCUAAUUGCAUUUUCUGAUAAGAUCUGCUUUGGAAGGAUUUCCAUUUUAGAGCUGUUCAUUAAUCAGACUCUCUUUCAGAGUAAAUCAGGAAAACAGAAGAAAGAAGAGGCCCAUCAGCUUAGCACUCCUCAGUCCCAUCUCAGGGCUAAAGAACUUCUUGGACAAGUUUACAACGGGAGACUAAUGUUGCAAACUAA